rnacentral:miRNA from 1 species
AACGAGGGGUAUUCCACAAAAAAUUACCCUGAGGGAUGAAAUAUUCCGAGAGCGAAGCCCGAGGAAUAUUUCAUCCCGCAGGGUAAUUUUUUGUGGAAUACCCCGA